rnacentral:rRNA from 1 species
GGCGAACGCUGGCGGCGUGCCUAAUACAUGCAAGUAGAACGCUGAAGGAGGAGCUUGCUUCUCUGGAUGAGUUGCGAACGGGUGAGUAACGCGUAGGUAACCUGCCUGGUAGCGGGGGAUAACUAUUGGAAACGAUAGCUAAUACCGCAUAAGAGUAGAUGUCGCAUGACAUUUGCUUAAAGGGUGCAAUUGCAUCACUACCAGAUGGACCUGCGUUGUAUUAGCUAGUUGGUGAGGUAACGGCUCACCAAGGCAACGAUACAUAGCCGACCUGAGAGGGGGAUCGGCCACACUGGGACUGAGACACGGCCCAGACUCCUACGGGAGGCAGCAGUAGGGAAUCUUCGGCAAUGGACGGAAGUCUGACCGAGCAACGCCGCGUGAGUGAAGAAGGUUUUCGGAUCGUAAAGCUCUGUUGUAAGAGAAGAACGAGUGUGAGAGUGGAAAGUUCACACUGUGACGGUAUCUUACCAGAAAGGGACGGCUAACUACGUG